rnacentral:rRNA from 1 species
GUAGGUGAAGCGACUUGCUCGCGGAGCUGAAACCAGUCGAAGAUACCAGCUGGCUGCAACUGUUUAUUAAAAACACAGCACUGUGCAAACACGAAAGUGGACGUAUACGGUGUGACGCCUGCCCGGUGCCGGAAGGUUAAUUGAUGGGGUCAACCGCAAGGUGAAGCUCUUGAUCGAAGCCCCGGUAAACGGCGGCCGUAACUAUAACGGUCCUAAGGUAGCGAAAUUCCUUGUCGGGUAAGUUCCGACCUGCACGAAUGGCGUAAUGAUGGCCAGGCUGUCUCCACCCGAGACUCAGUGAAAUUGAACUCGCUGUGAAGAUGCAGUGUACCCGCGGCAAGACGGAAAGACCCCGUGAACCUUUACUAUAGCUUGACACUGAACAUUGAGCCUUGAUGUGUAGGAUAGGUGGGAGGCUUUGAAGCGUGGACGCCAGUCUGCGUGGAGCCAACCUUGAAAUACCACCCUUUAAUGUUUGAUGUUCUAACGUGGACCCGUAAUCCGGGUUGCGGACAGUGUCUGGUGGGUAGUUUGACUGGGGCGGUCUCCUCCUAAAGCGUAACGGAGGAGCACGAAGGUCAGCUAAUCCUGGUCGGACAUCAGGAGGUUAGUGCAAUGGCAUAAGCUGGCUUGACUGCGAGCGUGACGGCGCGAGCAGGUGCGAAAGCAGGUCAUAGUGAUCCGGUGGUUCUGAAUGGAAGGGCCAUCGCUCAACGGAUAAAAGGUACUCCGGGGAUAACAGGCUGAUACCGCCCAAGAGUUCAUAUCGACGGCGGUGUUUGGCACCUCGAUGUCGGCUCAUCACAUCCUGGGGCUGAAGUAGGUCCCAAGGGUAUGGCUGUUCGCCAUUUAAAGUGGUACGCGAGCUGGGUUUAGAACGUCGUGAGACAGUUCGGUCCCUAUCUGCCGUGGGCGCUGGAGAAUUGAGGGGGGCUGCUCCUAGUACGAGAGGACCGGAGUGGACGCAUCACUGGUGUUCGGGUUGUCAUGCCAAUGGCACUGCCCGGUAGCUAAAUGCGGAAGAGAUAAGUGCUGAAAGCAUCUAAGCACGAAACUUGCCCCGAGAUGAGUUCUCCCUGAGACUUUAAGUCUCCUGAAGGAACGUUGAAGACGACGACGUUGAUAGGCCGGGUGUGUAAGCGCAGCGAUGCGUUGAGCUAACCGGUACUAAUGAACCGUGAGGCUUAACCUU